GAAUGUAGUGUUUUUUGUUUCUAAAGAGUUGAACAGGCGCAAAGGAAGCUUAAUUCCGGUUUGUUCGUGAGAAAAAGUAAUGAUAAAUAACAGAAAGACGAAUAUAACUAAAAUCUGUUUAAACUGUUAAGUAAACAUUCACAAAUAUGUUUAAACUACCAAAAGCAGAGUCAUAGCAAAAAAGCCAGUUUGAAUAAUUGGAUUAUUUAGGCAUCAGCAAAACUAUUAUUUUUGCAAGCCUGUGUUUUUUUUAAACUACUUUGUUUUUUGCAUACAUAUUUAGUAGGUUGUUGGUUCUAUAUUAGCAAUUAUAAAGGACAGGAGCCUCAAAAUGAGAUUUUGAAUUCUAGCAUUACCACACUUUGUUUUCUUUUUCUUUUUUUCUUUUGUUUGCUUUUCUCUUUUCUUCCCUCUUUCCUUUCAUCCAAAUCUGCAAUGACUUUUGGAGGCCAAGAAAAUACCAUUGAACUGAAAAAAUGUACUUAAAGCAAGUACUUAAGGCAAUCAGUUGCUUUAAUUUUAAUUUUUUCAUGUUUUCUGUGACAUUCCCUGCAUACUAGCAUCGUGCACCCUGCUGUUAUGUGCUGCAUUGUCUCAGGGGCAUCUUUGCACAGCCUGCACCUGGGGUCUUACCUGGUGUGGUACAUGCUGUACAGGCUCCUGUCCCUUCAUGAUGGUUCCUGUUGUUGCGGCUCUUCUUUCUUAGGUUUCUGCAGCCUGAGUUAUCCACUAAGCACAUGAUCAGUUGUGGUUAUCUUCCUGAUAUACUCAUGGAUGUUUGUUGUUUCAUCUUUAAUAUUGGUUUUGACACACUAGAAUUUGGCCUUCUGCAUAGCGUACAGUCUCAUGAUGCUGUAUUUGGGGUGAAACACUCCAUGCAUGAUAAGAAGGUUUGUUGUAUUGAAGUCAGUGACUUCUCUCUCCUCCUUUGGCCAGCUUAUUAUCCUAGCAGGGUAUCUGAUGACCGGCAAGGCAUGAGAUCUACCUAGAUCUCAAGCUUGAACCACAACCAAAAACCGCCCACAGGGCUACACCAAUCAGAGGUCAUAGAUGAGCUGUCCCAGAGGAAAAUGAAAGUCAGUAGUGGAGUUGAGAGUUACAUCACUGCC
ensembl:lncRNA